rnacentral:lncRNA from 1 species
CUAAUUAUAUUUUUCUUUCUCUCUUUCGUGUGGAGUGGAGAGCCGAAGCGGAGGAGCUCGGUGGAGGUAGUCGCGAGCACGAGUUCGACGCCGACGACGCGUCGCGAAGCCAUUCGAGGGUACGGUUGGGAUCGUAGCGCUGCGAGGAAGCUAGGCGAGGGUACGUUUUCGCCGUUCUCGACGCCGCGUCGAUGUCCGAUUAGCCUUUGAGGUGAGUGUUCCGUUGCAUUGCUUCAAGUAUUGUCAUUUCGAGCUUGGUGCUGAUUUGCAGAAUUUUCAGCGUCGACCGUCGGUAUUUCAGUUCGUACUCGACGUAGGAGCUUCGGUUUUCGACGGGACUUGGUUCGUUGGAUUCGGGAGUUCGAGAGGAAUCCACAAAGCCCUUACUUACUGGAUUUGGUAAAGGUUUGCUAGGUCGGAAUUUCGCUCCUCUCUGUUGCUAUUUUUGAGGCAGAAUUAAUGCUGAUUGUCGGAUUCUCCGUGUAGAGUUUGGCGGGAGCUUGACUUCAGACCUUGGGAGAUUUUCGGACGUUUCGGCAGGUUGUUCCGCAGCCGAGGGGAGUUCCGUGCUGCCGGGGAUUAGCGAGCGAGGUGGGUUAAUCAUCGGUUUAUACUCCUAAGUGCUUAGUAGUCAACAUGUAUGAAUUUUGGAUUUUGUGUAGUUUACUUUAGCUCGAAUUCAUGGAUUAUUAUGUGAAUGACUAAUCUGAAUUUGGAGCAUGUGAUAAUAAAUUAAGUAAAUAUACAUGUUGGACUUGGAACUUGACUUAGGAGAAAACAAGCGUUUUGGGACCUGUCACCUGUUUAAACUACCUGAUUUAGCCCUGGGGGCCGUUGUAUUAAUUUAUAUUGUUGCAGUAUCCUUAAAGUAAGUAUUCCAGGUAGUUUACUUUUCAGUUAUGCUCGAGCUCGGAUGCCGAGUGUAUUUUUACUGUAGCGUUCAGGCUGUUCCGGAUUGUUGGGUGCCGUCGGGAUUGACGGUGGACCCGUAUCGCCGUUUUGGCGUUGGAUUGUGCCGAGAACACGUUACCUGUUGGUUGUUAGACCAGUUUGAGUCGGUUACUUGACUUUGGCUAUUGAGAGCCUGAUUGAGCUCGACAGAGAUACGCUGCAUACUCGGUUGGGUAGCGCCCAUGAGUGCCACUCCGGAGACGGGCUUUGUGCUUUCGCGUUGGUGUCGCUCAUGCCAGUUGGGCUUGCUCUCCACGGACCAGUUAGUGUGGAUAGAGCCCGAUAGUCGCAACGGGGCAGGGACGGGUGUAUUCACAGUCCCAGGGACGGGUAUGUUUACAGCCCCGAUUGGAUUGGGUCAGUUUUGACAUUUCCUACAGUUGGUUAGCAUAGAGCAGGAUGGUGUAGUGACUAGUAGCUGUAGAGUUUAUUCCAGCACUUUACUUUUACUAUUGCUCCCUUCUGUAGACUUAGUGGGUGGACCGAUGUUGUUUUUGGGCGGCACCCACUGAGGACUACUUGUUUUUACAGUAGUUCUCACGCCCAGAUGUUACCCCUAUUUUGCAGAGCCACAGGUUUCGGCUGCUGCGCCUUUCGCGGAUCAGGAUCGAGGCAAGGGCGUCGCGAGUUAGAGCCCUACCCGCUGAGCAAAGCUAGAGGCACCCUACUGCAGGUAGUUGUUUUACUUCGAGCUUAUGUACAUAGUACUUAACUUGCCAGAGCGAGUGAUGCUGUAUUUUGGAUUCUGAACUAUGUAUAUGAAGCUCAGUUUGUUUAGCUUUUGUUUACUCGAGCAGCUCUAUACUACUGUUUGUAGUAUUGUUUGAUUUACAGGUACUGAUGUCGCUUCGUAUAUAGAGGAAAUUCCUUUGUAUACGGCGAAUUUGUCGGCGUGCCCGGAGAACGAGACAUCCGGGGCGUGACAUUUUCCAUGCAUUUUUAUGUGUUUUCCUUUGUUUACUUUUGUUCCCCUAUUAACUGCAUUUUGCCUCGAAUCAAGGCUUCCUCCACAUUUUUUUGUUGCCAAGAAUAGUUUUGUAUGAAAGUUGUCAAUAAACUUACAAGUUGGUAAAACACUAGACUAGCACAUUUACACAUUUUUUUGUCAAUAAACUUACAAGUUGGUUGCCAAUAAACUUGCAAGUAUUUACAUUGUAGCUUGAAUAUGUCAAAAAAAAAAAAAGAACCCAUUCUUGCUUACUUCCUAUGUCUGAUGUAUUUCUUGCUUUCUUUUGAGCUGCAGUUGUAUUAUUUUCUUUCAGCAAAAUUUUGUUAAGUUGUAGAAAUGCAUAUGUGUGUAAUUAUUUCUUAUCAGCUAUGUUGCUUGCUUGGGUUUCGGAGAUGUACGGUUGUAUCUAUAUAGUUAUUUUAAAAAAAAAAAAUGGCUUUUUCACUAUUCUAUUUUUUGUUGAAUGCAUUUCUUCAUAGGAUCCAAAAAAGAAAAACCAAUGCUUUUCAUUGUUCUACUUUUGGUUGAACCUGCACAUUCUUCGUUUGUUAUUAUUGGGUUUUGGAGGUGUACAUGUACCUAUAUAGUUAUUUUUUUAAAAAAAAAAGGCAGGGCUUUUCACUAUUCUAUUUUUGACUGAAUGCAUUUCUUUACUGGAUCUGAAAAAGAAAAACCAAGCCUUUUCACUGUUCUACUUUUAGUUGAAUACAUUUCUUUACUGGAUCUUCUGUUGUUUAACAUUUAUUAUUGUGUUCACUGUAAAUUUUUCUAUCCGCCGCGAAGCGCGGGUACUUAACUAGUUAUAAAAUAACUAGACUCCUUAAAUCUAUUUCUGGGAUCAUCUGCUUCACCUGAUACAUUGCUUUCCAUCUUAAUUUAGCAAAAAAAAUAAGGACAGAGAUAGUUGCACAGAUUUUAUCUUUCAAAUUGGUAAGAGAAGAAGAUGCCAGAUUGGGGAAAAUUAUGUCGUAAACUAAUAAAAAUUUACCACUUAUAAUAAGAAGACAGAAGCUGCGAAAGGUUAAUAUUAGAAAUUUGACAUGCACAUUAAACAAACAUAUACCAUAGGUAAACAAAGAUCCAUAACCAAGUUUCUUUUACAUUCUCAAAAGGAACAGAUCAGCAUUUAAGAGUGAUUGACCUUGUUUGCCCAAAGUAUAACAAAUCUGCGGUGACUAAAUCGAAAUUUUCAGGCUUUAGAGGUCAUUUCAGUACAGAAUUUUUGCAAUAUGUUCGCGCCAAGUGAAUACAAAAGCACAAUCUUGUAAUCAGCUGGCUACAUUUAUCGUGCCGGUUUUUUUUCUGGUUUUUAUGUUUUAUUGUGAUUUGUUAUUUAGGGUUUUAGAGUUAAUGAUAUUAGAUCUAAUAUUCUCUAUUCUAGAAUCUCAUCUAAUUCAAUCUAGAAUUACCUAAUCUAAUUAAUAAAAUCUAUAAUCUAGAAUCUAAUAUAACAUAUAUUUAAAUUUAUCUAUAUUCUAAUUUAUAAUUACGAACCUAAUCAUAUCUAUUCUAGAAUCAUCUAUUAGAGUAUUAAAUAUAAUAGAAUAUAACUAAUUAAAUUCGAUUUACGUAAUUCCAAAAAACCUAAAUUAAUCUAACCUAGUUUAAAAAUUCUAAUCAACAAUUACCCUAUUUAAUCUAAUAUCGAAUAUAACCUAAUCUAUUUAAUAUGUAAGUUUCCUAAUCUAAUUUAAUCUAAUCUAAUCUUAUGAACAAACAAAUGUUAAUCUAAAAUUACUUCAGCUGUUCUAUUCCAAUCUAGCAUUUGUAAAUUAACAUAAAUAUAAAAUAAUUCUGAUUUAGUAUUGUUAGAUAUAUUAGAAUAUACAGUUGAUUAUAGUAGAUUAUAUAGUCAAUUUAAUUUAAAAAUACGGACAAUAUCUAUACCAAAAUUGUCAAAUAAAUCUUGUAUCUACCGAUGACAAUAUGCUAU